CAAAAAGACACUUAAUCUUGACAGAGAGAGAAACUUGACAUCAGUUUGACAUCAGUCAGAGUAUUCAGGUCCUCAUUCUCCACACACACACAAAUAUGCAAAUCCCCACCACCCUUCAUUCAAAAUUUUGUGCCCCAGUAAUAAAUCCAUAACCAGGGAGCUAUUUUAUAAACAUAAGGCUAACCAUGGUUAAAAUCAAGAGACAUCUUAUUUAUUGCAAUUUCGAGACCCAAUUCUGCUGCUAAAGUGCUCUCUACACAUGGAAUCCCCAUCGUGCAGGAACUUCAGUGAUUGAGAGGUUUUUUGGACUUUCGGAACCCCAAGGGAGAGGUCAGCGGGCCAGAACACACUAGUGUGGACAGAGGGAGUUGCCCGUGCCCUAAUCCCAGACUCUCUACAUAGCUGUCCCUCAGAAGGAGAGGCCCAGGCCAAGGGGAGUAGGGGGGAGUGUCUGCUAGAGGCCCAGUCAAACAUCCCCCCUUUUCCUCUUCUUCAUAAGGCCUGACAGCUCCCCACGUUCUCAGACCCUUUUGGACAAUUUCGACACCGUGUCCAUCUGGUUCUGAUUAAGUUCCAACUGGCCUGCAUCGCAUCCAGACAUGAGACAGCGAGAGAGAAGAAAGAGAGAAAGACGGCAAGGUGAGAACGAGGAAGAAAUGGCAAGAGCCAAAACGACAACAAAGUGAGAUCGACGCGGAACGACUGAAAGACAAGAGAUCUGUAACUGAUGCCCAACAUGGGCGUCAUUACUGAAACACAGGAUUGUUACAUCAAUAGCCCAGCCAUGCCCAAAAGACAUUAUUUGGAGUGAGUAUCCAGCUUGUAGCUGGUGUUUAUUAGCCUCUCUUCUGGCACCUGCUUCCACACAAAGCAUGCCAGCGGUCUUCCUCGCCCUCAUUCUGCCUCUCACCAUCAAACUAAUGACGGUGGUUAAAAAGAAUAGUUCACUCAGAAAUGAAAAUGUCACCAUUUACUCACCCUCAUGUCAUUUCCAAACCUGCCUUAUGUUAUUUCUUUGUCAACAGACACAAUUUAGCUUAUUAUUGACUGACAAUCAAACCUUAUUCUGACACAUUAAGUCUGACGCCCAC
ensembl:lncRNA